UACGGGGGGGGCAAGCGUUGUUCGGAAUUACUGGGCGUAAAGCGCACGUAGGCGGCUUAGCAAGUUGGAUGUGAAAUCCCUCGGCUCAACCAAGGAAGUGCAUCCGAAACUGGCAGGCUAGAGUACUAAAGAGGAUCGCGGAAUUCCCGGUGUAGAGGUGAAAUUCGUAGAUAUCGGGAGGAACACCGGUGGCGAAGGCGGCGAUCUGGGUAGAUACUGACGCUGAGGUGCGAAAGCGUGGGGAGCGAACAGG
rnacentral:rRNA from 1 species